rnacentral:lncRNA from 1 species
UUUUGUUUUUCUUUUUACUCCAAUGUAAGUCUUGCUCUGUACCUCGACUGAUGACUUAUCAGUCUUCUUUAAUGAAAUGAACUUCUUAUUGAUCUCAACCUGAAGACAAUGACUCUUUGUCCAGGCUCUGAUUAUGGUUUUUCUGUCUUCUUUUUGUUCUGUUUUAGAACUGUUUUCGUUCUUACUCUAAGUACAAGUUUUUAGGUUCUAUUGUUAAGGGGGAACUGUUUUCACCCCAUGUUUAGAACUUG